GUGCUUUUACUACAAAUACCACAGUAAAACUACAGUUACUGAGGUAAACCCAUAGUAAGCAUUGAGGUUACUGUGCUUUAACUACAAAUACCACAGUAAAGUACAGUCACUGUAGUAAAAACAUAGUAAGAAUCAAGGUUAUUGUGCUUUUACUACAAAUACCACAGUAAAGUACAGUCACUGUAGUAAAAACAUAGUAAGAAUCAAGGUUGUUGUGCUUUUACUACAAAUACCACAGUAAAACUACAGUUACUGAGGUAAACCCAUAGUAAGCAUUGAGGUUACUGUGCUUUAACUACAAAUACCACAGUAAAGUACAGUCACUGUAGUAAAAACAUAGUAAGAAUCAAGGUUAUUGUGCUUUUACUACAAAUACCACAGUAAAACUACAGUUACUGCGGUAAACCCAUAGUAAGCAUUGAGGUUACUGUGCUUUAACUACAAAUACCACAGUAAAGUACAGUCACUGUAGUAAAAACAUAGUAAGAAUCAAGGUU